rnacentral:rRNA from 1 species
UACGUAGGGGGCUAGCGUUGUCCGGAAUCAUUGGGCGUAAAGCGCGCGUAGGCGGCCCGGUAAGUCCGCUCUGAAAGUCCAGGGCUCAACCCUGGAAAGCGGGUGGAUACUGCCGGGCUAGAAUCCGGAAGAGGAGAAUGGAAUUCCCGGUGUAGCGGUGAAAUGCGCAGAUAUCGGGAAGAACACCCGUGGCGAAGGCGGUUCUCUGGGACGGUACUGACGCUGAGACGCGAAAGCGUGGGGAGCGAACAGG